rnacentral:rRNA from 1 species
UACGUAGGGGGCUAGCGUUGUCCGGAAUCAUUGGGCGUAAAGAGCGUGUAGGCGGUCCGGUAAGUCCGCUGUGAAAGUCGGGGGCUCAACCCUCGAAUGCCGGUGGAUACUGUCGGGCUAGAGUGCGGAAGAGGCGAGUGGAAUUCCUGGUGUAGCGGUGAAAUGCGCAGAUAUCAGGAGGAACACCGGUGGCGAAGGCGGAUCUCUGGGCCUUACCUGACGCUCAGGCGCGAAAGCUAGGGGAGCGAACUGG